rnacentral:tRNA from 1 species
UGCCCGGUAGUGUAACGGUAGCACGUCAGCCUUUGGAGCUGUAAGUCUGGGUUCGAACCCCGGCCGGGCAGCCA